UACGUAGGGUGCAAGCGUUGUCCGGAAUUAUUGGCGUAAAGAGCUCGUAGGCGGUUGUCGCGUCUGGUGUGAAAUCCAGGCUUAACCCUGGACCUGCAUCGGUACGGCAGACUAGAGUGCGGUAGGGAGAUUGAUCUGUGUAGCGUGAAUGCGCAGAUAUCAGAGACACGUGCGAGCGAUCUCUGGCCGUACUGACGCUGAGAGCGAAGCAUGGGAGCGACAG
rnacentral:rRNA from 1 species